rfam:Ixodes scapularis strain Wikel colony gcontig_1108378560040, whole genome shotgun sequence.
GCAGUCGUGGCCGAGUAGUUAAGGCGAUGGAGUAGAAAUCCAUUCGGGUCUUCCCGCACAGUUUCGAAUACUGUCGACUGCG